UUGACACAGGGAGGUAGUGACAAUAAAUAACAAUGCCGGGCCUUUACAAGUCUGGCAAUUGGAAUGAGAACAAUUUAAAUCCCUUAUCGAGUAUCAAUUGGAGGGCAAGUCUGGUGCCAGCAGCCGCGGUAAUUCCAGCUCCAAUAGCGUAUAUUAAAGUUGUUGCAGUUAAAAAGCUCGUAGUUGGUUUUCAGUCUGGGGUGGCGAAGCACUCACAACGUGAGUGACUUCUGCCUUCCUGGACUUCCUUGGUGAGAAUCUGUUUGGUAUUAAGUUAUCGGGCAGAGGAUAACCAUCGUUUACUGUGAAAAAAUUAGAGUGUUUAAAGCAGGCUUAUGCCGUUGAAUAUAUUAGCAUGGAAUAAUAAGAUAGGACUUUGAGUCUAUUUUGUUGGUUUGUGAAUCAAAGUAAUGAUUAAUAGGGACAGUUGGGGGUAUUCGUAUUUCAUUGUCAGAGGUGAAAUUCUUGGAUUUCUGAAAGACGAACUACUGCGAAAGCAUUUACCAAGGAUGUUUUCAUUAAUCAAGAACGAAAGUUAGGGGAUCGAAGAUGAUUAGAUACCAUCGUAGUCUUAACCAUAAACUAUGCCGACUCAGGAUUGGCGGUUGUUUUUUGACUCCGUCAGCACUGUAUGAGAAAUCAAAGUCUUUGGGUUCCGGGGGGAGUAUGGUCGCAAGGCUGAAACUUAAAGGAAUUGACGGAAGGGCACCACCAGGCGUGGAGCCUG
rnacentral:rRNA from 1 species